UACGUAGGGUGCAAGCGUUGUCCGGAAUUAUUGGGCGUAAAGAGCUCGUAGGCGGUUUGUCGCGUCUGCUGUGAAAACGCGAGGCUCAACCUCGCGGCCUGCAGUGGGUACGGGCAGACUAGAGUGCGGUAGGGGAGAUUGGAAUUCCUGGUGUAGCGGUGGAAUGCGCAGAUAUCAGGAGGAACACCCGUGGCGAAGGCGGCCCCCUGGGCCGCGCCUGACGCUGAGACGCGAAAGCGCGGGGAGCGAACGGGG
rnacentral:rRNA from 1 species